CCUACGGGUGGCAGCAGUGAGGAAUAUUGGUCAAUGGCCGAGAGGCUGAACCAGCCAAGUCGCGUGAGGGAAGACGGCCCUACGGGUUGUAAACCUCUUUUGUCGGGGAGCAAAGUGAACCACGUGUGGUUCAUUGAGAGUACCCGAAGAAAAAGCAUCGGCUAACUCCGUGCCAGCAGCCGCGGUAAGACGGAGGAUGCGAGCGUUAUCCGGAUUUGUUGGGUUUAAAGGGUGAGCAGGUGGAGGUGAAAGUCAGCGGUCAAAUUGCGGGGCUCAACCAAGGACUGCCGUUGAAACUGCAUCCCUUGAGUGCGCGAGAGGUAUGCGGAAUGCGUGGUGUAGCGGUGAAAUGCAUAGAUAUCACGCAGAACUCCGAUUGCGAAGGCAGCAUACCGGCGCGCAACUGACGCUCAGGCACGAAAGCGUGGGUAUCGAACAGGAUUAGAUACCCUGGUAGUC
rnacentral:rRNA from 1 species